CUUCAGAAAUCCUGCGUGCGGACCGAUUUCCGUACAUGCGCACUCGACGCCGCAGUGCCCACUAGACGUCUAGGUAGCGGCGAGGCUGGUUGGCGAGCGACUGGUGGUAGGGACAGAUGUUGGAGACAGAGUGCAUCACUCAGAAGACAGGUACCACCUCUAGUUUCCUUCUGCCACAAUCAUGCAGGCGUUUGAUGUGGAUCAAGGGCCACAGUUUGGUGAAAUGCCAUCUCGAUGAAGGGGAGGAGGGCAGAUGCCAGUUUCCUGGCAGGAAAACAAUCAAAUGAAUGGCGAAAGACCCAAGGCAUUCCCUUGGAGAUACUGAGGGUUUGGUACCAGACUACUGCAAUAAACCGGUGAGGCUGUUUGAUGGCAUUUUACCCCCAGUAGAACUUCUUCCACAACUGGAGUCAGUCCUCUCCAACCCUGCCGCUGCCUUCUCCACUCACUUCAGGAGAGAUCCUAAAUCCAUUCAUGUUCCAUUCAUGUCAUUUUACCAGUCGUCACCAGGAGCAGAUGCCACCCCAAGAAACCAUUUUUUCUGCUCAUCCAUAAGAAGCAAACCUCAUCUAGUCCAGUUACUUCCUCCACUGAAGUCCUGACCCCUCAAAGUCAUCCACGUCUUCCAGUGUCCUGUUCAUGUUCAUAUUCUGACGUCUUCCAUGAAUCACCAGUGUACUUUAAGGACAUCCUAGAAUGCUCAAGAUUGCUGACUGUAACACAAGAGUGUAAAAGAACAUUUUCACCUCUGGUUAAAUGUUCCAACAGUAAGUAAUCCAGGUAGCUAAUGAUAGACAGUUCUACAAAGAACUGCCCACGGCAAAAUCCAAUGCCAGCUCCCCAGACGUAUACCACGGUACUUCCCUUAAACCUAGACGCUCCUGAAAUAGGAGGCAGUUGCUAGAGGCAGCGUGAUCAUUCAUCUUCAAACUCUCUCUCAGGACGUGCCAAGGGUCUAGAACACCCAGGUAAGAGAACCAGGUGAAUGUUUAUUUCCCGAUACCAGAGUCCAUCUGUGUCACCAGGAGCAUUAUUGACUUGAGUGUCAAGUAUCUGCACAUGGACCUGCUGACAGGAAGGUCUAGGACCCUGGCCAGCUGCCAGCCAUAAAACUCCAUUAGCACAGCUUAGGGAAGUCUCAGUUCAAGGACUUCCAAGGCCAUCACUCAGCUGGUGUGGGCUGCCGCCUCCUGUCCAGACCACAGUUAAAGCACGCAGAGCUGACGUAUGAUGGCAGAACAAACCUCAGGGCUCCAAGACAUGUGAUCAGGGGCAAUUAAGGCAGCUCUCUUCUCAGCUUGGGAGUGGAAGGAAAGGAGUAUGUCCUUGGUCUGUACUAUGGGCUGAUGACAUUUCUGCAUAACACUCUACAGCAGUCACAUCUCUGGUCUACAAAUGACCACACUGAGGCCUAGUGAUGGUUAAUUUAUGUGUCAACCUGGCAAGGCAUGGUCCCUGGUUUGGUCAAACACCCAUCAAGAUGUCACUGUGAAGGAAUUUUUAGAUGUGAUUAAUAUUUAACUCAGUAGACUUUGAAUAAAGCAGAUGACCCUCCCUAACGUGGAUGUCCUUGAAACUGCAAUAGCAACUCUUCCGGGGAUCUCCAGCCUACAACCGGCCCUGUAGACUUCAGACUUACUAGCCCUCCACAAGCGUAUGAACCAAUUUCCUAAAGUAAAUCUAUCUUAUCUAUAGUCACAUCCUAGGCAGACACCUGUGACUCAGCAUGGAGAAGCACCUACUAUUGAGCCCACAAGCCCAGAUAUGGUUACCUUUUUGCGUGGCCGAAGCUUGUCCCGCCAUUCCUUCAGGUUCUGAUUAUGGCUCUCAUCUAAGGCCUUCAGCUUCUGGGUUUCAUGUUCUACCAGGAGGUGACACUUUUCAUUCUGGAACAAAUUCCAGGUAGAACAGGAGAGAUCUGUGUAAAGAUGAGGACACAGACCUGACAGACACUCCCAACCUUCUUAUUCUCUCUCUGAGCCACAGGCACGGCACUGGCGUCAGAUGAAGACUUCAUGCCCUGAGAGACACGGAGCGGGCUGUGCUCAACCCAUGUGAAUGUUCAUUUCACUGCAUUCCUGAUCUACGGAAACUGGAUGGAGGAGGACCUAGCAGCUCCUGGCACAGCCCACUCUCUGACACCCACCUCGAAGGAGCUCCUGCUUCCUAGUGAGACACUCGCGCUCCUUGUCACAGAUCUCCCGCCUGUUGUCCGCGGUGAUCUUCUUCAUGGCCAGCUCCAGGUCCUCCUUCUGCUUGGCCAGGAAGUCCCGGUCCUGGACAGGAGAGAGGAGGACAGGCCUUUAGCACCGGGUCCAGCGUCUCAACAUCCACCUUUAUUACAGAAGCAAAGUCCUCAUGAUCAGCGAAGAAAACAUACGCAGGAGAAAUCAGACUUAGAGACACAUCAACCAAUUGUAGCACAUGCGCUUUACAUGGACCGUGAUUCAAACAACAGGUUAAAAAGACUAAACAUUCAUGAGACAAAUGGAAAUGUGAAUAAUGACCAACUGCAUAUAUGAGGUCCAAGCAGUUCCUAAUAAAUAAAUUCUUAGGUGACGUUA